CAGGGAUGGUGACUGACAGGAAGCAAGAGGGAAUGCCUUGGCUCUUUAUAGCCAUCAGCUGCUUUGCUAGAGCCUGGGAAAUCGCAUAGGGAAGGGCCUGCAGCAGAAAUCAAGAGCUCCUGCCUGUUUUUUUCUCUAUCGGAGGCUUCCACAAGCAUGCCUUGGAGAAAUCAGAGUGUGCAGCAAAAAGCACAGUAAUGCUCCUCAGUGAUCAUAGAUGUCUCCUCAGUGGGCCCUCAGAGUUAGAAACUGCUCGGGCCAAGCAGCCGCAAGGGCUUAGGAGAAGAGGCUGCCUCACCUGAGGAGGCCGAGGUGCAUCUCUGCAUGGAGAAAAAGCAGUUUGGAUUCCAGAAGAGGCAGAGAAAGGAGAAGCAGAGAGAUCCUGCUGUGGGUUGGAUUGGGGAAAAAAAACAACCUGUGGGCCUUGCAUCUCUCUCUUUCCGGAGAUCUAACGCAGGGCCAUGGAUCUACCACAAAGGAGGAGUGCCGCUGCGCCUUCAUUUGUGCUUUAUCUGUCAUUGGGCUUUUCCCCAUUCUGGUUUUCCUCAGUUUAAGAAGUUGGCUGGUGGCCAUCAGAUACAUGGAUCUACAUGCCUGAGACUGGAACAUCAUAUUGCAUGUAUUGCAAGUAUAACUAAAUGCGAUUUGAGUCCAUAACUACCUCUGGACAGGACACGAACACAGGUUUCCAUAAUAUGGUCUUUAAAGACCUUCUGGACUUAAAUAUCAUUCCUUUCCUGAAGACUCACCUGGUUACCCACCUGAUACGAUCUAAAUAAAGGUGUCUUGCCUGGA